rnacentral:rRNA from 1 species
AACGAACGCUGGCGGCAUGCCUAACACAUGCAAGUCGAACGAGACCUUCGGGUCUAGUGGCGCACGGGUGCGUAACGCGUCGGAAGCUGCCCGUAGGUUCGGAAUAACUCCCCGACAGGGGUGCUAAUACCGGAUAAUUUCUUCUGACCACAGAUUUAUCGCCGUUGUAUGGGCCCGCGUUGUAUUAGCAUUUUAGUAGUGUAAAAGCCUACCACGGCUACGAUCGUUAGCUGGUCAGAGAGACAGAUCAGCCACACUGGGACUGUGACACGGCCGGGAAUCCUACGGGAGGGAGCAGUGGGGAAUAUAGGACAACGGCCGGAGGGCUGAAGGAGCAAGGCCGCGAGAGUGAUGAAGGCCGUAGGGAUGUAAAGCUCUUUUACCCGGGAUGGUAAUGACAGUACCGGGAGAAUAAGCACCGGCUAACUCCGUG